rnacentral:lncRNA from 1 species
UUGUUCCUCGUGACGUUCAUUUGUAGCCAAGUGAACCUUGCCUCAUUUGAUUUCAUCUGGGAGAAAACCAUCCGGUUGUAUUUGUCCCUAAACAACUCAAUGGCUACAAAAAAUUCCUCUGUACCUUCUUCAACUCCACAUUCUAUUGCCUUAUUGAUGCAUUCCUGUACCUCAUAACCGGCCAUUUCCUCAUUUUUCCUCCUGUACUCCAUCUCCAUUGCCCUCUGCUUCAUCUCCAUCUCCCUCUGCUUCAUCUCCAUCUCCCUCUGCUUCAUCUCCAUCUCCUUCUGCUUCAGC